rnacentral:rRNA from 1 species
ACAGCAGCCGCCGCGGUAAUACAGAGGGUGCGAGCGUUAAUCGGAUUUACUGGGCGUAAAGCGUGCGUAGGCGGCUUAUUAAGUCGAAUGUGAAAUCCCUGAGCUUAACUUAGGAAUUGCAUUCGAUACUGGGUAGCUAGAGUGUGGGAGAGGAUGGUAGAAUUCCAGGUGUAGCGGUGAAAUGCGUAGAGAUCUGGAGGAAUACCGAUGGCGAAGGCAGCCAUCUGGCCUAAUACUGACGCUGAGGUACGAAAGCAUGGGGAGCAAACAGGAUUAGAUACCCCGGUAGUCCCUGUCUCUUAUAC